rnacentral:tRNA from 2 species
GCAGAGGUGGCUGAGUGGUUAAAAGCGCCAGCUUGGAAAGCUGGUGUCUGAAAGGACACGCGAGUUCGAAUCUCGUCCUCUGCG